GCGCGCGUGGUGGAAUUGGUAGACACGCUACUCUCAGAAGGUAGUGCCCGUUCGGGUGUGUGAGUUCAAAUCUCGUCGUGCGCACAA
rnacentral:tRNA from 1 species